rnacentral:rRNA from 1 species
GGGGAAUAUUGCGCAAUGGGGGAAACCCUGACGCAGCAACGCCGCGUGGAGGAAGAAGGUCUUCGGAUUGUAAACUCCUUUGAUGAGGGACGAAAAAAAAUGACGGUACCUCAAAAACAAGCCACGGCUAACUACGUGCCAGCAGCCGCGGUAAUACGUAGGUGGCGAGCGUUGUCCGGAAUUACUGGGUGUAAAGGGCGCGUAGGCGGGAUUGCAAGUUGGAUGUGAAAUUCUGAGGCUUAACCUCAGCGCUGCAUCCAAAACUGUAGUUCUUGAGUGCUGGAGAGGAUAGUGGAAUUCCUAGUGUAGCGGUGAAAUGCGUAGAUAUUAGGAGGAACACCAGUGGCGAAGGCGGCUAUCUGGACAGUAACUGACGCUGAGGCGCGAAAGCGUGGGGAGCAAAC